GUCAGGAGUAAGAAGUUUGUGUCUUCUCUUAUGGAAGGGAAAGCUAUUCUUCUUUGCCUUAUGGUGCUUGUGCACAUAGGAAAUUCCAUUCAUAUUGAUAAAUGCAAGUAUCUAGUUCACCCGCAAAGAACAACAUGCAAGGAUGUAACUGCUUCUAUCGGCCGUGAGUGCAAUCUGUCAAAAUGCCAGGGCACCUGCAAAGAUUUGUUUGGAGCGGAACUCACAGCCUCAUGGUGUAUCAACCCCGUCCCAUACUAUUGGCAUUGUAGGUGCCGUAUCUGUUUGUAGAGUUGCACUGAACAAUCCUGUCGAAAAAUGGACAAAUGAUGUGAUCCAAUAAUAAAAUCUUCCAGUGACAUGCAUCUAAGAACACAUAACGAUUGCCAAAUUUAGGUGUUCUA